rnacentral:misc_RNA from 1 species
GUGAGUCAUCGAAUCUUUGAACGCAUAUUGCACCCUCUGGUAUUCCGGGGGGUACACCUGUUCGAGCGCUAUUUCAACCCUCAAGCUUAGCUUGGUGUUGGGGUAGGGUCCCGGGGGACCCCCCCGUAACUUGUAGGCGGUCACCGCCCGUACCCCCUGCGUAGCAAGCUCAUGCACUCGCUCGGGGUCAGUGUGUGAUCAUGCCCCCAAACCGUUCUAAAGGUUUGGCCUCGGAUCAGGUGGGGAUACCCACUGAACUUAAGCAUAUCAAUAAGCGGAGGA